GCAGCCACCUUUUGAAACGCGUCAAAGCGUAACUUUAACACCCAAAAUACCAUUAAUUUUUAUGAACCCCUAAUUUAUAAUGAAUGACUCCAUAUUUAUAUGGAAGACACCAUGCUAGGAUUAGUAACAAGAAUUUAUAAUUCUCCAAAAUGCAAAUAUAAACCAACAUGGAUAGACCAUUGGUAGUUACCGAACCUAAAUUUAAUGCAAUAACAUCCACAAGAAAACUCUGCAGCACUCACUCGUUAACCUAACACCAGCGCAUUACAGGAAAGAUUCAAAAAAAGAGAAGGAAUUCGGCAAAUGACGGCCCCGCCUGUUUACCAAAAACAUCGCCUCUUGACUUAUAAUAAGAGGUCUAGCCUGCCCAGUGAAUUUUAAACGGCCGCGGUAUCCUAACCGCGCGAAGGUAGCAUAAUCACUUGUUCUUUAAAUGGGGACUCGUAUCAACGGCAUCACGAGGGUUUUACUGUCUCCUCUUUUUGAUCAGUGAAAUUGAUCUUCCCGUGAAGAAGCGGGAAUAUUUUUAUAAGACGAGAAGACCCCAUGGAGCUUUAAACCAAAUAACAACUUAACCACUUAUCCCAUAAUAAAUUUAACCCCUGUUAUAAGGUUUUUGGUUGGGGUGACCGCGGAGUAAAGCACAUCCUCCACGACGGAAAGAACAAAAUCUUUAUUUAAGAACCACACUUCUAGAAAUUAGUAUACUAACGUUUACUGACCCGACAAUCGAUCAACGGACCAAGUUACCCUGGGGAUAACAGCGCAAUCUACUUCGAGAGCUCAUAUCGACAAGUAGGCUUACGACCUCGAUGUUGGAUCAGGGUAUCCCGGUGGUGCAGCCGCUACCGAAGGUUCGUUUGUUCAACGAUUAAAACCCUACGUGAUCUG
rnacentral:rRNA from 1 species